GAACUUCUUCGGUGCUGUGGAGUCGGUGAUGAUUGCUUUUGCAACCAUGGUGUAGUCAGGAUUAAUUUAGACCUCGCUUCCAUGUUUUUUUUUUCUUUUCUUUUGUAACCCUUGCAGAUUUGUGGCUUUUGUACGUCUCAAAUGGGCAGCUUGUAUUGUUGAGGGGUGCAAUCAGUGGUAAAGACUGAAUGUGAGGCACGUAAGAUUUGGAUGUCAGUCUCAUUUGCACCCUGUUUUUCUCUUGAGGUAAUCGAUUGACGCCUUAGUGGACGCUCUCAC
rnacentral:lncRNA from 1 species